GGAUGUGAAUGUGAUCUGGGUAGAACAUCUUCACCACACUACUUGCCAGGGUUGAUUUGGCUGAUCUGGCUGGCUAGGCAGGUUUCCUACUCCUCCAUCACUGCUCCUUGUACCCCCUUUCCAAAGCUGUGAACUCAGUUGUAGAGAAUGACCUUUCCCAAGUACAGAAGUACUGCUCUUUUGUCAAGAGUAUAUGAGAGGCUUCACAUCCCUGCUACAAACUUCAAAAAUACUCUCAAAAUUUCAUUACAAGUUCAGUCACAACUUCUACUUCUGCCCAAACUGGAGCCUUUGAAUGCAUUGCAAAUGUG
rnacentral:snRNA from 1 species